rnacentral:misc_RNA from 1 species
AGAAAAUUGAGUCUUGGGAUCUUGAGCUUUUAUAUAUAUAUAUAAGGAAUUAUAAUUUGUUAUUUUGAUAGGUUAAAAUGUUUAUAUAAUUAAGGGUUUGAAUUAGGAAAUGUGUUGAGUUAAGAUUAUGACGACAAGUGGAUUUAGAUAUUGCAAAAGAAAAAAUUUGGAUUGAACUAUGAGUGCAGCACUAAUCCAGCUAGGGGCAUAAUGAAUCCACCCAAGAACAAAUAUAA